AAUGGCGAGAGGAGAACAGCAUGGGUGUCCUGGAAAACGAUGUCAAAACCAAAAUUUAUGGGUGGCCUGGGUUUUAGAGAUAUUGAGUUAUUCAACCUUGCUCUUCUUUCCUGUCAAGCGUGGAGGUUGAUGCAGCAACCGAAAUCCCUCAGCGCUCGCGUUCUGAAAGCUCGGUACUUCCAAAACACUGAUCUGUUGAAUGCCACGCUAGGAAAUGCCCAUUCCUAGGUCUGGCGGUCUCUUUUGGAGGGUCGGGACAUCCUGUCUUUGGGGCUUAUCAAGCGAAUCGUCACGGGUGCAAGCACUAAUGUUUGGCAGGACAACUGGCUGCCGAGAGACUAUAAGUUGAGGCCCAUCUGCGCCCGAUCAACGAACCCGCCGAUGGUGGUCUCGGGCCUCAUCAAUCCUGUCACCCGAUCAUGGAAUAAGCAAGCCUUAACAGAACAUUUCAUACCUGCUGAUGUCGAGGUUAUUCUCAACAUACCACUUAGUACAAGGUAA
rnacentral:rRNA from 1 species